GUGUGUGUAGAAGGCUCAGGUGCCAGUGUUUGGAGGUCACUAUGGUUUGAGGCACCAUGUCCUUUGGUGAACCCUUGAGGAAAUGUGCACUGGGCUUUGAGCAAGUGUUGAGUGUCCUGUGGGAAGUGUCCAAUUUUGGCAUCGAGAAAUGCUGGCGUAACUCAGGGAUACAGGCAGCAUCAGACUGAAGAAGGGUCUUGACCUAAAACGUCACCCAUUCCUUCUCUCUAGAGAUGCUGCCUGUCCCGCUGAGUUACUCCAGCAUUUUGUGUUCACCUUCGAUUUAAACCAGCAUCUGCAGUUGGAGAACUAUUGUGGAAUGUUAGUAGAGAAAGAGGAUGAACACAGGAGAGGUUCAGUGUGUUACAGGGGUCAGACACAUGCUAAAAGGCAGUGGGAGCAGUAGACAAAUCCAAGAGCCAGGUCUUGAGGUGCAAUCUGCACAAACUUCAAUAAUUUCCUGACAUGUUUCCUUCCUUUGUUGCAAGGCAGGUGGAAGUUGGCCAAUCGAUGCACAACUGGAUGAGAACACCCGGAGCAACAGCGAUACCUCAUUAGGUUGCCACCUUUUUGUGAUAGCGGAUCGGAACUCUUCACACAUAUGUAAAUGUGUUCCAGUGAAGCCUACAGAUUUACAGAAUCUGCUGCUUUGUGCCUUCUGAACAUUAUUUUGAUGGCUAUAUUAAUCUGUUGCUAGUUUCAUUGAUUUGAUUUUAAUUUCCAUGUUAUCCUUGUCUCUUUAUAGAUUAAUUAUCUUUCAAUAUUAUCAUCUGUGCCCCUUGAUAUGUUUGCUCAUGCAACACAUAGCUACAUUAUCCAAGAUUUAUCUAACCUUUCUAUUCCUGCAAAAGUAAUUUGAUGUCUCAUUUUUAUAUUAAAGUUUACAUGUCUAUUAUGCAAAUC